GGCCAGGUAGUUCAGUUGGUAGAACAUGAGACUUAAUCUCAGGGCGGUGGGUCCCAGCCCCAUGUUGGGUG